ACUCUAUGUUUUCCGACAGAAAGCGGGAUGGCUACCGACAGCGAGGAGCAGCAAGGAAGUGGUCGUGAUACUGCAGAAGAGAAUGAAGCUACGAUAUCGGAAGGAGGAAUGGAUCUGGAGACAGAUGACAUGGAUAAGAAAA